UACGUAGGGUGCAAGCGUUAAUCGGAAUUACUGGGCGUAAAGCGUGCGCAGGCGGUUUUGUAAGUCUGACGUGAAAGCCCCGGGCUUAACCUGGGAAUUGCGUUGGAGACUGCAAGGCUUGAAUCUGGCAGAGGGGGGUAGAAUUCCACGUGUAGCAGUGAAAUGCGUAGAGAUGUGGAGGAACACCGAUGGCGAAGGGAGCCCCCUGGGUCAAGAUUGACGCUCAUGCACGAAAGCGUGGGGAGCAAACAGG
rnacentral:rRNA from 1 species